rnacentral:lncRNA from 1 species
AUUAUAUAUGUAUCCAUCUGUUUCUUUGUCAGCUAAACAAGAGUUCAUGCUGAUGUCUCCAGCUUUAAUCCAGCACCACAUGGAUCAUGCUCGUCUCCUCCCUCUGCUCAUCUGUAACUUUGCACUCCAGUGUGAGAAACUCGGCUCUCAUUGUCUGUCAUCUAUUUAAUUAAUUGUUCAAUUCCUGUUUACAUGUAUAGUGAGUUCAGAACUGUUAACUCUCCAUGUACACGUAUAGUGGGUUCAGAAUUGUUACCAGGUAUGCCUAUGGGAAACAGAUUUAACAGCUAGAGUCCAAUACUUAUGUAUACUUUUUUGCCUUUUGUCUUAACAGACUCCACUCAUUUCCAUAUUUAUUCAGGUCAGCAAUCCCACCUUUUUCAAUGAGGUUAUUUUAUACGUUUGUAAUAUAAAGUGUUUUGCUUUAUAUUAGUCUGCAUUCUAUCCUGGGAUUCUUUGAGCUCCUAUGAUUUCUUUAAAAAUCUUCAUCUAUUAAAGUUCUCUUUGUGCUGUAAAAUUCUAGGAGUUUUGACAAAUGCAUAUAUCGUGUUGUGUGUAUAUGUACAUAACAUUAUUCAUAUGUAAAUGACAUGUUGUCAUGUAUACUUCAUUCCAUAUACUUAUGGAAUGUUUUUUCCACUCUGAAAAAAAAAAGUCCAUUAUGCUUCAUGUACUAAACCCUCUCACCUCUUCAAAUGCCUAACAACCACUGAUCUGUUUACCAUCUCUAUGGUUUCAACUUUUCCAGAAUGUCAUAGAAAUGGCACUAUAUAAUAAGUACCAUUUUCAGACUGAUUUCUUUCAUUUAGCCUUCAUUCUUGUGUAUGUGAUUUGAUAGCUCAUUCCUGUAUUUUUUAACCUCUGAAUAGUAUUUUAAUGUACAAACUGAAUACUUUGCUUUCUUCCAAUUUUUGAUGAUUACGAGUAAUCUGCUUUAAAGGAUUUGUGUGCAGGGUUUUUCUGUGGACAUGUUCCUAAAUCAGUUGGGUAAUACCUAGGAAAACAAUCAUUGGCAAUUAUAUUUUUAUAAGAUAUUUGAAAAGAGUACUAUUAGGUAAUUUGAGCAUUUUCCCCACAAUCAUAAGUAUAAU